AAAGAUAAUAGUCCUUAUGAGACACUGCAAGAUAAUCCUAUUGGAUAUUUAUAUCAGAGCUGUGUAAGUUGUUUCAACUAAUUGCAGGUAGUUGAUAAGGUGUCCAACCUUCAAGCUAAUCACUGUAGUUGACUGUUGCAAGCCAAUCACUGAAGGUGACUGAUACACUUUCAAUUAACCACAGCAACUUUCAUGAUUCCUCUUGUCUGUGCAUAAAUAUCCACUAAGAUUCUGUCCACUCCGUGUGCGCAACUAGUAUGUUUCUGUAAGUAGGUAAGAGAAAAACUAAACAGCACAUAAUGGGAUCAAAAUCAAAACCACACCUUGACAGCUUGGGCCAGAAUAUGAACCUGACCAAAAUAUCAACAAAACAUUUAAAAAAAAUAUUCCAGCUACUAACAAAGACAUAAUAUAAAAGCACAAGAAUGGAUGACUGAUUAUAUAUACUAAUCUUGCUUUCUUGCUUUGUUUUCUUUCUUUUUUUUGUAAUUUUUACUAAGACCUGCCUUGUAUGAUGAAGUGAGGUUCCCCCCCCUGCAAGAAAGCCUAUUCUCCUCUCUCUUCACAUAGCUUUAAGGCUAGAAAAACCUAAGCCCAAGUUGAGCUACAGCAGAGCAAGGGAACAAGAGAAUUAUGCUGAAGUUCCUGUGGGAAAGGUGUGUUUGAGAAGCAUUUAAUGAAACUGGCAUCACAUGAGAGUUCCGGAAGGCAGUUCCCAUCAUACAAGGCAGCAGAAGGCCAGGUCUUUGGAGGGAGCUCAUGAGCUUUCAGUCGUGAAACUGGAGGGGAAACUGCAGGGCUCAAGAUCACAGCUGAUUCAUUCUCCUGUCAGGUGA
rnacentral:lncRNA from 1 species